UGGGGAAUUUUGCGCAAUGGGCGAAAGCCUGACGCAGCAACGCCGCGUGGAGGAUGAAGGUCUUUGGAUUGUAAACUCCUGUCAGCAGGGAAAAAGCGACCUGACCUCAUACGUCAGGGAGUUGAUUGUACCUGCAGAGGAAGCCCCGGCUAACUCUGUGCCAGCAGCCGCGGUAAUACAGAGGGGGCAAGCGUUAUUCGGAAUUAUUGGGCGUAAAGGGCGCGUAGGCGGCUUGACAAGUGGCGGGUGAAAUCCCUCGGCUUAACCGAGGAACUGCCUGCCAGACUGUCUUGCUUGAGACCGGGAGAGGUGAGUGGAAUUCCCAGUGUAGCGGUGAAAUGCGUAGAUAUUGGGAGGAACACCAGUGGCGAAGGCGGCUCACUGGACCGGAACUGACGCUGAGGCGCGAAAGCGUGGGGAGCAAACAGGAUUAGAUA
rnacentral:rRNA from 1 species